rnacentral:lncRNA from 1 species
CCAGAAGGAGCUACUCCUGGAAGAGGAAGGGAGAACUGGAGAGACUGAUAGAAUUCAAGAAACUGAAGGAAACUUUGGAACAGAAUGCUUGCCACGCACACUGCUGUGGUCUGUGCCUGAUUACACACAGGCAGCUGCACCUCGCAAAUGCUGCCGGGAUCACAUCAUCCUGUUAUGAAAUCGGACUUUUAAAGAGCUGGAGUUAAGUGGCAACUUUAGUGGUUGUCAACACAGCCUCAGUCAAGGCCUGAGAGAGUGUAGUUUACUGGGCGAGGUUGCUCUGGGUAGCCUUAAAAGGGCCUGGAAUCGGUGAGUGAAGGAAGGAGGACGAGGGCGGGGAAGGAACCAGGAAGCCAGGAAGCUGCAGCACGAAGUCCCCCAUCUUGCUCUCUUAGUGCUGACCCCAGUGUUUCAGCUUCCAGUCUCCAUUUGCUCCCUGAGCUCCUGCCAUGCUCAUCUCUGUCUGCUCAGGACUCUCUCUUUCAUUUUCUCGAGCUGUGUUCCUAAACCUUGGGGCAGAAGGGAUAGGGAGUCAAUCAAAUCAGGCCAGGAUUAGAAAAUCAGCUACUGAGUUGGAGGGCCACAAGGAGCCACACAGUAAUCACAUUACAAAUGUCCUAUCUCAUCAACUCUGAGAGUGGGCAUGAUUUUUAUCUUCAUUCUGUAGAUAAGUAAAGUCAGGCUGAUAGAGGCUACAUGGAUUACC